UAUUAGUCUGUUGCAGUGUCAACAAUUAAUU
rfam:Dictyocaulus viviparus strain HannoverDv2000 D_viviparus-1.0_Cont778.5, whole genome shotgun sequence.